UGCAAACACACUGAAUGUGGAGGUUUAUUACCCAGCUUAACCCCAGCCUCUCUCUGCUUUCCAGGUGUCCCGCAAGAUUUGCCAUCGUGCUGUUCUUAUAUUCCGCUUGCCGAAACUUCAGGUGCUGGAUGGUGUAAUCGUCAGCCCAGAAGAGAGGGCCAGGGCUGAAAUACAUUUGCUGGAACAGCAAGUAAACUACAGUUACUAUAAUUAAGUUCUGUUUAGCCCUCUUACCCUUUGGGGAAGGACCAAGACAGACAUGAUUCUUCCUGUUCAGAUGUUGCCAUUGGUGUGUUCUUUUCUUUCCUCCCUUUUGUUUCUGGUAGACAUUUGGAGGGCAGCCAUGUUUUCUCAUAUGACAGUUCAAUAAUGAGCACUGUUUAGUUCCAGUCAGUGGUGCCACUAUCUUUAGCUAUCCCAGGUCCCAAAGAUGGCAUAUUCUCCCUUGAGACCCUGCAAUCUGCUCAAAAUAAUUAUGGCUGUGCACCAAACCAACAUUUUCUGAUGGAACUAGCAAGGUGAGCUUGUUCAUUUUUUAAAAAAAUCUUCCUGCAGCACCAGAUGACUUUGAGUGUGUGUGCUUGGCUUGCUUUUAAUUCAUGAGGAAUCUGUUCCUGCCGCUGCCACCUUCCUUCCUGAUCUUAAGUGGUGGAUAUAAAAGUACAAUAGAGGAGGGAUUUCUGGAUGACAGAGAUAAUUGUAAAAAGGGGGAUGAAUUUACAUGGGUUGACAUGAGAUGGAGUUAAGAAGCAGGUGUUUGUUGGUUGGUUUAUAGGAGUAGAAGGGUGACACUUUCAAAGACAAAGAGGCAAAAGUGAAUGAGAGAGAAACGCAAGCUUGUCCUUGUCACUUUUAACAUGACAUCAAAUUCUCACAUUGUACCUGCAGGCUCGCUCUCAUUUUUGAGAACACAAGUACUGUGUAACUUGGGCAUGACCUUCCCAGAAUGAUUUAUUGUCUUUACGUGCAUCAGGGACUUUCCAGCCCAGAACACUGCUUGCACUGCAAUACACAGAUAAAGGUGACAUGUGUACAUGCCAAGGGAGAUUGUAUAUGUGUUACCUAUCCACUUUCCCUUCAGCCACCUAUGCACAUUCUUUCUCCUCAUGGACUGAACACAUUGAAGCCACUCACAAAUAGAAACAAUUGACUAGACUGGAAGAACGGGUUGUAAGACCCCUUGGUGAGGAAUGAGAGUGGACCACUUCAUCAAGACCUUGCUGAAGCUUAAGGAGUCUGUGGCAUAGUGGAACUAGAGCUGAUAGGAUCAAAGCACUCAGACCUUUUGAUUAGCUGAGAUGAUAAAAUCAUCUGCCCCUCUCUUUACACUUCCCUGUUUCUUUAGGUCUUACCUGCGAUCCUUACAGUUGCAGGGAAUAGGUGGGUAGGGUGAACAGCAAUAUAUAUCAUUGUGAAUGAUUCCCUAUUUUAGUGCAAAGUAUUUUGAGGUGUUUUUUGUGGGGGUUUUGGGAUAUGUGACCAUGUUCUAGAACAGUUUUUUCCUGAUGUUUCGCUGGCAUCUGUGGCUGUCACCUUCAGAGAAUGCUUCAGAUAAUUUUAAUAUAUUUUUUAUUGAAAUUUCACAACACAGAGAGAAUAUUUUGAGGUGGCUUGGUCUUAAAUGAACACUUAGUAACUAUCAAUGGUACCCCAAGACCUGCUUCUGCUGGUGAUGAAUGCUGCUAUUACUGAUUUGCUGAGGUAGUUCACUAAAACUGCCUGCAUUUUUGGAUUCUCCUUGGAACAUGGGUAUGAUGAGCAUGGUCAUAAGAAACACUAUUUGACAGUUGGAGAUCUCCUGGCAACCUCGUGUUUGCCUACUUGAAUGCCAUCAUAGAAGAAAAGUGGGAUAUGAGUUGAAUAAAUAAAACCAUGACAGAAUUGCAUAUGUUUUUGUAUAAUCACAGGAUUUGGUGCUAAGUUUAGAAUUCAGCUUCCUAAGAAACUGAGCAUCCCCAUCUUUUCCUCCCAGAAGUCAGGUUGCUAGUCCUUCUGUCUUUAGAGAAAGGUUUGAAAGUAAGUGUACAAUGCCUGGCAAAAUCUCAGUACUCAGACAAGGCUGAUUAGAAUCUCUGAUUUUCAGGAGGUGGAGGGAGACCCAAGGAGCAACUAGCUUUCUCACUUAUAAUUUGGAGGGGGGAGGGAUGAAAUAAGCAAAAUAACCAAAUGAGACUUCUGUAUUGCCUCAUUUGAAGCAAGAAUACAGUCUGCUAAUAAUCUGAACUGGAGGGGAAUUUGGAAUUUCAACCUUUUUUCAUGUGUAGGUAUCUCUAAGGUUAGACUCCACCCUCAGAUUUAAUUUCUGAUACCAAAAUUUCCAGCCCCACCAGCAGACACCAUACAAAGUCUCUGCCAUGUUCAUGGCAGCUGAGGCAGUAUGUCUGUCUGUAGCAUCACCUCUUCCAUGGGUUACUGCACAAAAAUGAACAUGUUUUUGCCACUCAAUGGUACUUUGUAUACAAGACCUAUAAGUGGUUGUGGAUUGUAUCACUGCAUGAUGUAAACGCUUUAUUUCCAAACUGACCUGUGCUUUUGUACAUCGGACAUCACUUAAAAAUACAAAACAUGGCAAUAUUAGCGCAGCUGGGGGGAAGUGCUAACGCUCUCUGCUCUUUAGAGGAAUCUUCUGUUUUUCAGAAAGCUUCAGUGAAGAUGUUCUACCUUGUUAGCUGGAACAGAACAGAGGCAUUAUCUUAUUAGGCCACCGAAGUGUAACAACACACAAUUUCUCCCAGUUUUCUUCAUGACAUCCAAUGUGUUCUUCCCUAAGAGCUUGUUAAAAAGUUAAGAAGCAAGAUUUUACAUUGCUUCUUUUUUUUCUUUUUUUAAUUACUUUGGGUGUUAAAUGCACAAGGAAUUUCACACAGGAGCAAAUAACCUAAUUAGCACCUUAUUUUCUACCAGUACUGUCAGAAAUGUUUUGCAACUGUAGAUGGAAAAUCAAAACGUCGCUUCUCUUCCAUAAGGGUAAAAAACACAAUACGCCAAAUAAUCCACAGAUCGUUGACCUGCUUACCCUUUUUAUGGUUUCCCAAAAUCUGUGGCCUGAACCAAUCCGUUUCACACUGCCUAUGGUAUGGCUGGUCCAAAAUCCCUUUUUCUUCUGGUAUCAAAUUUACCGCUAUAUGUUUUUCUCAGAUUUUUGUUCUGGGCCUGCUUGACAUUUUCAUGGAACAAAGAUGCUCCCAAAUUGAUUUGCUUCCCUUGGAGAAGCAAGUGUAGGUAAACAAAAGGGGUGGGACAUGUUGGCCUCACACGGUGGUGCAUCUUCCUUUUCCUUCAUCCUGUGUGUGUGGUUUGUCCUGGUGAAAAAGAUCUUGAUGUGAAGAGAUACUCACAUCCACAUCUAAAGAUAUACUGGCCUUUGAACCAUAGCAGCUUCUUCAAUCAUAUCAAAUUUCUCAUGUAAAUGAGGUUCCAAGGGACAAGACAUCUUCCCUGAUUUCGUAUAACUUGCUGUAUUUCCAGGGCUAGCCCUACCAUUAGGCAAAGUGAAGCAGUUGACUCAGGCAGCAAAUGCUGAGAUGUGGCAAACAGAUGUUGGAAGAGAAAGAGAUAUUUGUAAUAUGGCUGGCCCUGUACCCUGUAGGUUAACGUGCAACUUUUAAGUCUGCUGGAGGACACACUUGCAUUGUCUUGUAUUUCAUGGAAGACUUACUUGCCAAACUAGUUGGCUUUUCUCCCAUGUUCUGAGAAGAGAGAGUACAACAAAAUAUCUGCAUUUCCAUUGUCCUUACAACUCCAUCUAUAUGGAAUAUUGUCUGAACUUGCUUCACAGAUAAAUUUCAGAUUUAGUAGGGUAUUUUAAAGGUGACAGGGAGAAAGGUGGGGGCAACUUUUGACCUUGCUACUGAAAAUGAAUUAAAAAGCCAUGGGAGUAAACAUUGUUACAAUAACCUGAUGCCACUUUUUAAUAUACAGGUAGUUAAAAAAUUGCCUAGAUUUGCAGGGCUGUUGCCCAGAAACGAUUUUUAGCCAGUGCACAGAAAAUUCACUGUAUUGGACUGUGCCUCCUAGAAGUGACUCCCAGCCAUCACGGUCACUCCUAGCCAAAGCCUGCAUGGUCAUAAGAGAUUCGGACAUAAGUAGUCUCUCCGGAAGUAACUUUCCUAUGGUCUGGUUUUAGAUGUUAAUACAUUACAGCAAGGGUUGGCAGAAUGUAGCUCAAGAGGCACAUGCAGGCCACAGAGUACAUGUCAAAAAACAAAAAGUGAGUUCCAUUCACUUUCUGAAUGUCAGAAAAAGGUCUCUCUUUGACCUAAAAUGAUCUAUGGGGGAUAAAAAUAUGGCAAAAACACUUAAAUAAAAAUGUUCUAAUAAAAACAUGGGGGAAAUGCUUUGGGGGAAAAAAGAUUUUUCUUUUGUAAGGGCAGUGCAAAGGGAUGUGCAAUGCCCUCCAAAUUUCCUGGGGUUACUGUGGCUUCCUGGCCUUCCACAGUUGCCCAUACUUUAAAAGAAAGGAUGACCACUAUGAGCUCUGAUAUCCCUGCUUACCACUGAUUUUAAAGAUUGCAUCCAGGAAAACUACUUUUGUGGAAUGCGGGAACAAACUCUGACCCCCAGCAAAGGACCCUCUUGUCCCAAGUAGAAUCAUAGAGUUGGAAGAGACCGCAAGGACCAUCCACUCCAACCCCCUGCCAUGCAGGGAAUCUAAAUCAAAGCAUCCCCAACAGAUGGCCAUCCAGCCUCUGUUUAAUGACCUCUAAGGAAGGUGACUCCACCACACUUCUGUUUGCACAGGAGCUGCUUUCCCACUUCAAAAGUUGUAGCCACUUCAGACUGGUCCAGAAAUCAUCUGAAGUUGUUUCCUGACUUGCAGAGAAAUAGCUUGGUAUAUCUCUAUGGACAUCUAACAUAAAGUACAUCUGACAUAGCUCUUCUGUUUCUGCAUAACAUUGUUAAAUUUAUUUUGUUUUCCUCCUGUUCUCAUACCUAUCAAAUGAUAAAGCUAGUGUUUAACCUGGGAUUUAGUUACUCUGAAACUCACAAUCAAGCCUGUCUGCACACUGUAAAACUUCACACAGCAUAGCAGAGCAUGGGGCAAUGCUUGUUUUUUGGGGUGAUGAACAUAGCUGAAGCAAACUAAACACAACUUGCUGAUCCUCAGUCAGCUUUCACAGGGAAAGCUAGAAAAUGUUUGACACAGCAUUUUUACAAUGAUUCUGAGAGAAAGCUGAAAUCCUCCGAUCUCACAACUCAAUUUUAUAAGUAAGGAAAGGAUAAAGUGUGAUGAGAAUUUUAGUUUGAUGCUUAUCCAUAUGCUACACAUGGCUUCCUCAAACUUUUCUGCCCCAAUGGUCAACUGGACCCCAAGGGAGAGCUAAACACUCUUCCCCUCAACCUCAGAGCAGCCAUGAUUGCUAAUUUCCCACUAGUAAUGGAGGUAUAGAGCAGAAACCUUGAUCAAGGUGUCUGGAGGGGGAGGUUGAGGAUAUCUCCCAAAACUACAAAUCCUCAAAUCCCAUCGCAUUGAAGGAAUACAAAGGGAAUACUCUGUGACAGGGCAAGGGGGGAUUCCAGAAGGUAGACUUGUUACGGCCCACUGAAUUUGACCCAGGGAGGGUCCGUUCCUAAGAGGAGAGUGUGGUGGGAAUUGUAGUUUGCAGCUUAUCCAUAGGCCACACAUGGCUUCUUCAAAUUUUUCUCCCCAAAGCUCUGCAGGCAUUUGUAGGUAACAACUGAGAGAUUUCACUCCUCUUUCCUCUGAGGAGAAAAGGCAGUACAACUGAAACUCUCUGUUCUCAGUCAAACGUUUGUAGGUAUCAGCUAAGUCCCAACCUUGGAGAAAGGGGAAGAGGAACAAAAAAGCCAUGUCUCCAUCCAUAAUGCUAAGUGGAAAAGUUCCAGCUGGUACUUAGGUCACAGACCCGUUAUAUCAGUGUCCAUGAUAACUGAUGACCCCUGAGCAUCAUCUGCUACAUAGAGGACUAACAUGGAGAAUCUACCCCCCUUCCAUGAUUCCCCACCUUGCACUAAGAUCUGCCACAGAUAUCUGGAUCUUUCACAGCAGGGACAUAGAUUUUGGGGAAAAAUCUCUUGGGAACAGAAGGUUUGAAAUCCAAACAGAGCUUGCAACAAAAACAGACCAAAGCAUUGUGUCCAUUUAGUGGGUUUGCUUAAUAAAUGGCUUCCAUUUCCCUUUCCCCAUCCAUAGCAUUUUUUUUUAAAAAAAAUUAUCCCAUGUCCUGCCAGGUCAAAAAAUCCAUUUUGUGGCUCUUACUCUAAAUCAGUGGCUGGGAAGUAGAUCCAGAGUUCCAGAAUGGCAUAACCUGAGAUAUGUUGUAGUAAAGGUUACAGAGGGAAAAGUAGCAGUUAGUUGCAUGUCUACCAUUUUCAGCAGCCUCCAUGCAGGUAGCAUUGUGUAUACUUUACCCUGAGGCAUAAUCCCCGCUUCUUUUAUCCCAGCCCAGUUUUAUAAUAUGUGAUCUCUAAGUAAGGAUUUUUUUCCCCUUUACAGUGUUUUCAAGACUGAGAAGUAAGAUUUAUUUUGCUUCUUAUCUCAUCAUAUAUAGAUCUUUCCUCCAGCUAACUCUCCAAUAGACUCUGGAUUCCCUGGACUGCAAGUGACUUUCCCCAAACCUUGCACCAUGAGAAUUGCCAACAUUGCCAAUGUAACCCUACCUGGAGGUGUCAGCAGUCUCUAUGGGGCUGAUUUCAUCUUUCCUCACACUGCUGAUGAACUAGGUGGGACCGAGACGAACAAAAACAAGAAAUCAAAGAAUGCAGCUGUGGGAGCCAUUAAUCCUCGGAGCAUCCAUGCACAAGUAGCCAUCAGGCAAGCCAGAGGUACAUCAGCUAACCCACCAAGCCAUGCACCAUCGCAGAGUGGUCCUUCCCGAACAAAAUGAGGGAAAGGCAGAAAACAGAACAUUAGCACAUCCUGGAAGAAUGAAGUGUAAAGAACUGGAAAAGGCAAACAGACGCUAGUUUUAACAAUGAUAUAAAUGUUUAUGUUGGUUGUAACCCUGCCAGCUAGUGUUAAACUGAAGAAGAAUUUGUUCCAUAAUUUUACAUGUAUAUAUUCAUAUCUUAGAUCUCAGGCUAAUAUGAACAAACUAACAAAGCUUAUUAAGUUGAUGAAGCAUGCUUUCUUCUAUGAUCUGGAACUUAAUAAGAUAUUUUGAAUGAAAACCCAGCCUUUGGUUCAAACCAUAUAUGAGCACCGAUAGCAUGGUUAUAGUUCCCCUUUUUUUUUUUAAUGCAAACCAUCCUUGGAAGAGACCAUCAAGAACAGAAAAUAUGUCAUUUGCUCAAAAAUGCUUCAUUUCCCAGGCUGCUUUCCUGUCCACCCAGAAGAGGACAUGUUGGAGAAUCUACAAUUGGGAAUUUACUUUUUAAUAAUAAUUACUCUCAUUACUUGUUUUCAUAUUUUAAAAUUAAUGUGCUGUUAUUCAUGACAACAGAAAUCACUCGUGUACUUGUCACUUUUCCAUUACUUUUAAAAAACAAAAUCUUGGAAUUGAUAAGAAAUAGCCACACAAAAAAAACCCUUUGAAAAAUCCACUCAAGAUGUCUAAAAAUUGUCUUUUAAGAGUAACGAGGAAAAGUGACGAUUCUCCCUCAUUCAUAAUGUUGUUCCCAUUCCUUGCAUUACUUUUGAAAUGUCACUUUCUUACAUUCUAAUUAACCUCCCUAGAAUAGUGAUGUAACUAUGAUUCUGUUAGCAUAAUAGAAUUGUAGAGUUGGAAGAGACCCCAAGGACCACCCAGUCCAGCCCCAUUCUGCCAUGCAGGAACACACAAUCUAAGCACUCCAGGCAGAUG